GACGAACGCUGGCGGCGUGCUUAACACAUGCAAGUCGAACGGAAAGGCCCUGCUUGCAGGGUACUCGAGUGGCGAACGGGUGAGUAACACGUGGGUGAUCUGCCCUGCACUUCGGGAUAAGCCUGGGAAACUGGGUCUAAUACCGGAUAGGAGCCAUUUUUAGUGUGAUGGUUGGAAAGUUUUUUCGGUGUAGGAUGAGCUCGCGGCCUAUCGGCUUGUUGGUGGGGUAAUGGCCUACCAAGGCGGCGACGGGUAGCCGGCCUGAGAGGGUGGACGGCCACAUUGGGACUGAGAUACGGCCAAGACUCCUACGGGAGGCAGCAGUGGGGAAUAUUGCACAAUGGGCGCAAGCCUGAUGCAGCGACGCCGCGUGGGGGAUGACGGCCUUCGGGUUGUAAACGCCUUUCGCUAGGGACGAAGCUUUUUGUGACGGUACCUAGAGAAGAAGCACCGGCUAACUACGUG
rnacentral:rRNA from 1 species